CGGAGGCCUUGACAGCGCGAGGAGGAUUCUGGGACUAGCCUGGACUGGCUCCUCUGGAACUGUUCCUGCGCAGGCGCGGCGGUGCGGGCUGCCAGAGAGAGCGCUGGACCACGGUGGCAGCGACCGAGGGUCUCUUGGCCAUCUGUGCAGGGCUCUGGGGUGCUCAAAGCUGCUGGAUCCCUCCGCGUUAGCCUGUUUAUCCCAGAGGAUCCCAGGGAGUUGGGUCCCUCCCGAGCCCAGCUUCUCUUCCAGAGCAGCUGCCUCAGAGCCCGUUCAUGGCCAUGCUGCUGACCCCACAGGAACCAGUCAGUCUUCUGAGAGUGAAGGUGGAAGAAGGUGCUCCUGAGCAUCAGGAAUUCUUCCUGGGAGGAAACAGAUCUGACCCUGGGCCCUCUGGGCAGUGCUUCAGGGCAGGACUCCGAGAUGCAUGUGAAAGAGCAGGACCUGGGUCAGAGGCACCUUUGUCUGCUGUACCUGUGAGGUUGGGCAUCUGGGUGAAGGCCCCACAGCGUCCAGACCACAAUUUUCAUUUCCAGGACUCUGCUCUUUAUCGGGAGGGAAUCCUAGAAGAAGAAGAAAGGCCUCUGACAGCUGGAUCCCAGGUGAGUCAGGGUUUCUUCUCUGUGCUGAGGUGGUGGCCUCCUGUCUAUCCACUCUCCCGAAUGAAGCAUCUCUCCCCAGCCAGAUUCAGGACCCUGAGCCCCUGGUAGAUGGCAGGCUCCGUGGGGAGGUCUCCUUGUUUGCCUCCUGCCCUUCCUCAUGCCCUUUCUCUUCUUUCUACCCAUUCGUCCUUCACUCGUUCAUCCUGCAGAUAUUUCCAUGACCACUGUCAGUGCACCAUCCCUGCCCUCAGGGAGCGGGAUUCUCAUGGAAGAGGCAGGAAGGCAGGCAGGAUCCCAUCAGACAAUGAUGAGUGCCAGGGUGCUCUCUGUGCACACGUGAGUGGAGGGUCUGGCUAAGAAGCAGGAGGCUUGUGUUGGGGGCCCGGGGAAGAGAAGGUGGGAUCCAGAACCAGAUCAGUCUGGAGAGAUCUCAGAAGGUUGGACAUUGUCCUUGAGGUGUGAGGUGUGGAGGAUCCUCUGAAGGUUUUUGAACUCAGCAGGGUCUUAGGAGGAGCUGGUGACUGAGAAAGCGUGCUGCUGGAUUACUCAAACCCUUGACAGCCAAGCAGACGCUGGGAUGGUGCAGUGGAAGGCAGAUUAUCCCACCUGGGUCUCAGUUUCAUUUCUAGUUCUUCACUCUAGUUGUAACUCCCUCCCAUUGACCUUUGUUCUGCCCUCCAGAGCUACAGAGAUGUGGGCCUCUUCUGUUCCAUCAUCAUGCCUAGCGUAGGCUAUUGGAGAAAGAGGACGAGGUCAGUUGUGGACAUGGAACAUAGGCCUGGAACAUGAGGGAGAGGUCCCAAGCUCCGAGUGAGACAGCCAGGGCCAGAGAGGUGUGUUUGUGGAGCCUUCUAUGAGGCUGUGCGAACUUCCUAGGGGUAGAGGCAGCCCUAGGAGGAAGCCUCCUUUGGGGAGGCAAGAGGAGCCCAUGAGGAGAACCAGAGUAGACCUGUGUCCCGCACACCUAGGAAGAGAGCGUUCCAGGCGGCGUUAUUCGGCGGCCUUCAGGGCAGAGGGGAAGCAGAGACUGAUAAAACUGGUCCUUGAAUUUGGCCAAUGACAAGUGGGUUAGUAGGGGCUGGGUGCCAGGGCAUAGGCUCACCGAAAG
ensembl:lncRNA